CCUUGUACACACCGCCCGUCAAGCCACGGAAGUUGACAGUACCCGAAGUCGUGCACCCAACCGCAAGGAGGGAAGCGCCCACGGUAAGGUCGAUGACUGGGACU
rnacentral:rRNA from 1 species